rnacentral:tRNA from 1 species
CAGAACGUAGCUAAAAUAGUAUAGCAUCUCCCUUACACCGAGAAGUCGCCCGUGCAAACCGAGCCGCACUGACACCCCACC